rnacentral:lncRNA from 1 species
ACAUAACAAGAGGCUUAGAAAAUGUAGAAAAAUAUAAAGGAGGAAAGACCACACUAUGCACACAGUUCCACCAUCAUUCAUGGGCUGCUAAGGACGCUUAAGUUUUGGUGACCCAAAUGCAUGAAAAGGUAGAAACGACUGUGUGUUCUGACCAUUUUCUCUUUUUCAUCGACAGAGCCACUUGCAGGUUUAGUCAAAGUAAUAAGAUCAUUGUCGACUGGAUCAGAACAGAAGAUUCUAGGCUUGUUUUGCUUUUUAUUUAUGUAGUUUUUUCCUAUUCAGGUCACAAGAACUCAGAAACACCAGGACCACAGUUUGACAGCCAACUUCAAGGCACAACUUUGGGUUGGCGUGUUGACUCUAGUACCUGACGUCGGUUUCUACCCACGGAGCCAGCUCUGUGAAAAACUGUGCCGCAGGGACACAGUGCUGACUUUUCACCGACCUCCACUCAGAACCAGCCUUCCCCUCACCAGGAACCUGGCGACUAUCCUUGUUGCGCCCUGUCUGCACAGGACACCUGUUGACAGCUUGGAGAUUACCAGCGCUCUGACCGUGACCUAGAGAAACGCCAGGCAGGCGCUCCCAACUUGAUUCCUUACAAUGACAAUACAAAGCAGCUAAUUGACCUUGCCUGCAACAGAACAGGUCAAAUACCAAACGGAGAAGAGCAAUAAAGGAAAUAAAGUCUUUCUGUGUCAUCGUUCAUCACACAUUUCUUUCUACAUUCUUACAUCUCUGAAGCACGAAACCAGGACGUGUCUCAGAGUCAGUGGCAUCUGACAAUCUCUGUCUGCCUUAUGGUAAUUGCAAACGAGUUCUUACCAUCCAACCAUGACUGAACAUCAGCAGUGUGGGGAAAAAAAUCCUGAAAAAAGAGAGGCACACUCUUGAGUUCUGGUAAGAACUCAGAAUCAGUUGGCCGUGGAAGACAGGUUGGGAGGGAGUGCCAAGAAGUGAUCAGCCGCAUUCCUGAACCACAGCACACUAGCUCUCCCCUGAAUUCCAAAGCCAAGUAAAAAGCUCUGUGCCAAUGGUCUUUUGCUACUUUAUAGGUUCUUUUAAGAAAUGAUGAGUCACCAGUGUCUUCAAUGUAAUAGGUAUCUACAAAAUCAUGGACAUCAAUGAUGCUCAAUGAAGAGUGAGACAGAAGAACUGAACUCUUGAUGUAAAGAAGCUUAGGAAUACUUUAACCCACCUUAGGAAUACCUUACCCAACCAACCUUGAAAUUUUCCCAGUCCUCAGACAGCAUGAGGCUGUCACAGAGGCAAACCUUUCCAACCAGCUUAGUCCCAUUUACCUUCCUUGUUCUUGUAGGCGUAAGAGUGACCAAUGAUAAAAACUUGUGUCUAAGUUCAAACGGUUCUUUCAAUAAGCAUAAAAUAAAAUCAAAAUGAUAAGAAAACUUUAGAUCACAGCUUAAUGGGCAGUGAUUUUUCCUCCUUCAUGGUAUCUAAAAUGACGGGGCAUUUAAACUCAAUUGUGACUUGGAAUUAAUAAAAUGGGUAACUGGCUUUUAAAAAGAGUAUUUUACCCAAUUCUCUCUUUCUCUCUAAAACAUUUUGGAUUUUAUUCUUGAAUAGCUAAAAUUCCCAAGGAAAUUCAAUUCACUUCCUUUAGAGUAAAAUUUUGAGAACUGCCCUUGGUUACCUUAUUCUUUAAGGUCUCGGAAUUGUCACUCUGCUCUUGCUGAAAGUGGCAAGCCAGCCACCUCCUAAAGCAAAUCUCCAUAACAGGCUUUCCUCAAGAACAAGGCUUUGCCUUAGACCAAGUCUCCAGAGAAAAUUUGGCCUCUUCUAAGUUUGUGUUUUCCUCUGCAAUUCUCUUUUUAUAGUUGAAGCUAGUGGUAAGGUCAUCCAGCCUCAGCUGGUCUCAAUUAUACCCCUCUGUCUGAAGCAGAGGCUGGGGGACACCCAGCACUGUCUCUGGCUCCUUCACUUCCCCUCUAUGAAAUGACAGAAUUCGAUAAGAUAUUUUCCAGGUCCCUACAGCAUUAAUAUUCUAUGCUUUAUGUUGACUUCUCAAAAAGACCAAAAGUAUUGGUAUUUCCUUUGUAUUGUAUACAAAACAAGUAUAUUAUAUGAAAUUAACCAUUUUGCCUUAAUAAGCAGAUAUAGAUCUUUUUGUUUUAGUUUGGUUUUUUUAUUUGGUUUGGUUUUUGUUUUUGUUUUUUUUUGAGACAGAGUCUCGCUCUGUCGCC